CCUACGGGCGGCAGCAGUGAGGAAUAUUGGUCAAUGGACGAGAGUCUGAACCAGCCAAGUAGCGUGAAGGAUGACUGCCCUAUGGGUUGUAAACUUCUUUUAUAAAGGAAUAAAACGAGGCACGUGUGCCUUUUUGCAUGUACUUUAUGAAUAAGGAUCGGCUAACUCCGUGCCAGCAGCCGCGGUAAUACGGAGGAUCCGAGCGUUAUCCGGAUUUAUUGGGUUUAAAGGGAGCGUAGAUGGGUUGUUAAGUCAGUUGUGAAAGUUUGCGGCUCAACCGUAAAAUUGCAAUUGAUACUGGCAGUCGUGAGUACAGUUGAGGUAGGCGGAAUUCGUGGUGUAGCGGUGAAAUGCUUAGAUAUCACGAAGAACCCCGAUUGCGAAGGCAGCUUACUAAACUGUGACUGACAUUGAUGCUCGAAAGUGUGGGUAUCAAACAGGAUUAGAUACCCGAGUAGUU
rnacentral:rRNA from 1 species